rnacentral:lncRNA from 1 species
GGACUAGACGAUACUGACAAUAAUAAUGGUUUUAUGCAAAGUACGAGUAAUGGAUUGCAGUGCAACAGAUCACUCAACGGUUGCUGAGCAUGAAUUAACAUUUUUAGCGCUUGGAAUAGUUUCAACAUCCUAUGUUUAAUAUGGAUUAGAAGAUUGCAGUGCAGCAGUUCACCCAAGGCUUGCUGAGACAGGAAUUUGCAUUCAUACCAC